GAUUCCUCAAGUGAGAUUUGGGAAUUCCUCAAGUGAGAUUUGGGGAUUCCUCAAGUGAGAUUUGGGGAUUCAGCAGGUGAGAUUUGGGGAUUGGCCCUUCUUGGGUGGUUGGAGCAGCAGGAGCAGAGAUUUCCUGGGAUGAAGCCCCAGUGACAGCCACACCUGCCCCUGCUGAGGGGAAAAACCUCUCCAGGUGUCACCUGAGAACUUGGGGACACAGCUCAGGACCCUCAGCCACCCCAGAGCUCUCCAGGUGUCACCUCAGCUCAGGGCAGCGCUCUGUGGGGUGAGGAGCAGAUUCCCUCUGGCUCUGGAGAGGGGAGUUCUGUGCAGGAAACUUCUGGAACUGGGACAUCUCCUCCCCCCUGGGCUCCUGUCCCAGCCCUGGCUGCUGCAGGGACAGAGAUCCUGUCCCAUCCCUGCUCCUUGUCCUGAGGGAAGUGGAAUUGUGAGCUUGUGUAAGCAGCCUUCAAUAAAUGUCACAGCCCAAGGCUGGCACUGUG